ACUCAAAGGAAUUGACGGGGGCCCGCACAAGCAGUGGAGUAUGUGGUUUAAUUCGAAGCAACGCGAAGAACCUUACCAGGACUUGACAUGGGGACGACAGGCGUAGAGAUACGCCCUCCUUCGGGCGUCCCACACAGGUGGUGCAUGGUUGUCGUCAGCUCGUGUCGUGAGAUGUUGGGUUAAGUCCCGCAACGAGCGCAACCCUUACCGAUAGUUGCUACGCAAGAGCACUCUAUCGGGACUGCCGCGGAUAACGCGGAGGAAGGCGGGGACGACGUCAAAUCAUCAUGCCCCUUACGUUCUGGGCUACACACGUACUACAAUGGCGGUCAACAGAGGGAAGCGAAGGCGCGAGCCGGAGCAAAUCCCCAAAAGCCGCCCCAGUUCAGAUUGCAGGCUGCAACCCGCCUGUAUGAAGACGGAAUUGCUAGUAAUCGCAGGUCAGCAUACUGCGGUGAAUACGUUCCCGGGCCUUGUACACACCGCCCGU
rnacentral:rRNA from 1 species